CAUGCAAGUCGAGCGAACAGACGAGGAGCUUGCUCCUCUGACGUUAGCGGCGGACGGGUGAGUAACACGUGGGUAACCUACCUAUAAGACUGGGAUAACUCCGGGAAACCGGGGCUAAUACCGGAUAAUACAUGAAACCGCAUGGUUUCAUGAUGAAAGACGGUUUUGCUGUCACUUAUAGAUGGACCCGCGGCGUAUUAGCUAGUUGGUAAGGUAACGGCUUACCAAGGCAACGAUACGUAGCCGACCUGAGAGGGUGAUCGGCCACACUGGAACUGAGACACGGUCCAGACUCCUACGGGAGGCAGCAGUAGGGAAACUUCCGCAAUGGGCGAAAGCCUGACGGAGCAACGCCGCGUGAGUGAUGAAGGUCUUCGGAUCGUAAAACUCUGUUAUUAGGGAAGAACAAGGAUGUAAGUAACUGUGCAUCCCUUGACGGUACCUAAUCAGAAAGCCACGGCUAACUACGUGCCAGCAGCCGCGGUAAUACGUAGGUGGCAAGCGUUAUCCGGAAUUAUUGGGCGUAAAGCGCGCGUAGGCGGUUUUUUAAGUCUGAUGUGAAAGCCCACGGCUCAACCGUGGAGGGUCAUUGGAAACUGGAAAACUUGAGUGCAGAAGAGGAAAGUGGAUUCCAUGUGUAGCGGUGAAAUGCGCAGAGAUAUGGAGGAACACCAGUGGCGAAGGCGACUUUCUGGUCUGCAACUGACGCUGAUGUGCGAAAGCGUGGGGAUCAAACAGGAUUA
rnacentral:rRNA from 1 species